rnacentral:tRNA from 1 species
GAGGGUGUGGCUUAGUGGUAGAGCACUUGCCUAGCAUACUCAAGGCCCUGGGUUCAAUCCCCAGUACUACCA